CUUUGCUCCACCACACACUGCCCAUCAUCAUGGUUCUGCAGACCUCAAGGCAACAGAUGAGCUGAAUGUGGGCUGAAUCCUCCAAAACUGAGAAUGCUUCUCUGAUGACGGGUAAGAAAGACGCUGGGAAGAAUGAGGACAGAACCAGUGAUGGAGAAGUACUAGCUCUUGCUGCCAAGAUCUCAUUCUGCAACUCUGGCCAGGAUAAAAUUUAAUGUAUAGUCCAGGAUAUCCUAGAAAUCAUGACAUUCUUUUGACCUCAAACUCCUGAAGGCUGGGAUCAGAGACAUGAACCACUAAAGCAGAUUGAGAUCCAGUCUUGAGAAAACUUCAGCUAUUACUACCUCUGGAAUUACCAAUUCGUGUGCAAGGGUCAUGUGGGAAGGUCAAUGACAUUCAUCCAUUCCUUUAGUAGAUCUCUAAGUGAACCCAGUGUCCACUCAUUUUUCUUAUCUGUGUUGUCAUGACCCAGUUUUCAUAAAGUUCUGUUUGACUUUUCA